rnacentral:misc_RNA from 1 species
AAGGAGUCUAACAUGCCUGCGAGUGUUAGGGUGGUAAACCCUUGCGCGAAAUGAAAGUGAAAGUUGGGACCUCUUUGAGGGCACCGACGCCCGGCCCUGAACUCUUGUGACGGUGCUGCGGUAGAGCAUGUAUGUUGGGACCCGAAAGAUGGUGAACUAUGCCUGAAUAGGGCGAAGCCAGAGGAAACUCUGGUGGAGGCUCGUAGCGAUUCUGACGUGCAAAUCGAUCGUCAAAUUUGGGUAUAGGGGCGAAAGACUAAUCGAACCAUCUAGUAGCUGGUUCCUGC